UUAAAAUCCAAAAUAAAAAGUGUAUUCUCCGUUUUUGCGGUGUUUAACAAAGACAUGUUUCCUCCAUAAGAAUCGCACACAUACAAUCUUUAAAAUUUAUUUUUUCUGUUAAGUGAAAACACUCCUCCUCAAUUUUUGGAUAUGUUAUUUAUUAAUAAGCAUACUUUCUUAAAAAAAAUUAAAAUCCCAAAUAAAAAGUGUAUUCUCCGUUUUUGAGGUGAUUAACUACGACAUGUCUCGUCCAUAAGAAUCACAAACGUACAAUCUUUAAAAAUUAUUUUUUUUUUCUUAAGUGAAAACACUCCUCCUCAAUUUUUGGAUAUGUUGUUUAUUAAUAAGCAUACUUUCUUAAAAAAAAUUAAAAUCCAAAAUAAAAAGUGUAUUCUCCGUUUUUGAGGUGAUUAACUACGACAUGUGUCUCGUCUAUAAGAAUCACACACGUACAAACUUUAAAAAUUAUUUUUUUUCUUAAGUGAAAACACUCCUCCUCAAUUUUUGGAUAUAUUGUUUACUAAUAGGCAUACUUUCUUAAAAAAAAUUAAAAUCCAAAAUAAAAAGUGUAUUCUCCGUUUUUGCGGUGUUUAACAAAGACAUGUUUCCUCCAUAAGAAUCGCACACAUACAAUCUUUAAAAUUUAUUUUUUCUGUUAAGUGAAAACACUCCUCCUCAAUUUUUGGAUAUGUUAUUUAUUAAUAAGCAUACUUUCUUAAAAAAAAUUAAAAUCCCAAAUAAAAAGUGUAUUCUCCGUUUUUGAGGUGAUUAACUACGACAUGUCUCGUCCAUAAGAAUCACAAACGUACAAUCUUUAAAAAUUAUUUUUUUUCUUAAGUGAAAACACUCCUCCUCAAUUUUUGGAUAUGUUGUUUAUUAAUAAGCAUACUUUCUUAAAAAAAAUUAAAAUCCAAAAUAAAAAGUGUAUUUCUCCGUUUUUGAGGUGAUUAACUACGACAUGUGUCUCGUCUAUAAGAAUCACACACGUACAAACUUUAAAAAUUAUUUUUUUUCUUAAGUGAAAACACUCCUCCUCAAUUUUUGGAUAUGUUGUUUAUUAAUAAGCAUACUUUCUUAAAAAAAAUUAAAAUCCAAAAUAAAAAGUGUAUUCUCCGUUUUUGCGGUGUUUAACUAAGACAUGUUUCCUCCAUAAGAAUCGCACACAUACAAUCUUUAAAAUUUAUUUUUUCUGUUAAGUGAAAACACUCCUCCUCAAUUUUUGGAUAUGUUAUUUAUUAAUAAGCAUACUUUCUUAAAAAAAAUUAAAAUCCAAAAUAAAAAGUGUAUUCUCCGUUUUUGAGGUGAUUAACUACGACAUGUCUCGUCCAUAAGAAUCACAAACGUACAAUCUUUAAAAAUUAUUUUUUUUCUUAAGUGAAAACACUCCUCCUCAAUUUUUGGAUAUGUUGUUUAUUAAUAAGCAUACUUUCUUAAAAAAAAUUAAAAUCCAAAAUAAAAAGUGUAUUUCUCCGUUUUUGAGGUGAUUAACUACGACAUGUGUCUCGUCUAUAAGAAUCACACACGUACAAUCUUUAAAAUUUAUUUUUU